rnacentral:rRNA from 1 species
UACAGAGGUCUCAAGCGUUUGUUCGGAUUCAUUGGGCGUAAAGGGUGCGUAGGUGGCGCCGUAAGUCGGGGUGUGAAAUUUCGGAGCUUAACUCCGAAACUGCAUUCGAUACUGCGGUGCUUGAGGACUGGAGAGGAGACUGGAAUUCAUGGUGUAGCAGUGAAAUGCGUAGAGAUCAUGAGGAAGACCAGUGGCGAAGGCGGGUCUCUGGACAGUUCCUGACACUGAGGCACGAAGGCCAGGGGAGCAAACGGG